rnacentral:rRNA from 1 species
UACGAACUGUGCAAACGUUAUUCGGAUUCACCGGGCUUAAAGGGUGCGUAGGCGGCCAUGUAAGUAGGGUGUGAAAUCCCCCGGCUUAACCGGGGAACUGCGCCCUAAACUGUGUGGCUUGAGUGAGAUAGGGGUGUGUGGAACUUCCGGUGGAGCGGUGAAAUGUGUUGAUAUCGGAAGGAACGCCGGUGGCGAAAGCGACACACUGGGUCUCAACUGACGCUGAGGCACGAAAGCCAGGGGAGCGAACGGG